rnacentral:lncRNA from 1 species
UAUUAAAAUAUAUUUUUUUAUUUAUUUAUGUUUUGAUUUUAUUUAAUAUUUAUGUUUAUUUAUUUAAACAUAUCAUUUAAUUUCGAUGUUCGCUGUGCAUCGCACGAAUUGACGUACUAGUUUAAACAAAAUACAAGUUUAAAUACAAUCCAUACAUUAUAAUGGAACUUAAACUUAUUAAAAUAAGAUUUUAUAAAAAACGAAAAAAACAAAAAAACCUAGACAAACCCUUGAAAGUACAGAACGUAAACUAAGGGCCGAGCCUCAUUAAAACCUUUUUAUGGAAAACCCCAAGAGAAAAACCAUAACAAGGAAAAAGAGUACUCGUCUACCAACAGCAGCAAAACAUGAAGCGAAAAAACAACAAACCAGCGACCGGGGGAAAAGGGGGGUGGGGAAAAUCUUCAGGAACUCCGGCCUAACCAUCGUCCCU